AUACGGAGGAUGCGAGCGUUAUCCGGAUUUAUUGGGUUUAAAGGGAGCGCGGACGGGUGAUUAAGUCAGCUGUUAAAUUUCGGGGCCCAACCCCGUUGUGCGGUUGAUACUGGUUAUCUUGAGUGCGGCAUGGGCAGGCGGAAUUCACGGUGUAGCGGUGAAAUGCUUAGAUAUCGUGAAGAACUCCGAUCGCGAAGGCAGCUUGCCGGACCGUUACUGACGUUUAGGCUCGAAAGUGCGGGUAUCAAACAGGAUUAGAUACCCUGGUAGUCCGCACAGUAAACGAUGGACACUCGCUGUCGGCGACAGACAGUCGGCGGCCUAGCGAAAGCGUUAAGUGUCCCACCUGGGGAGUACGCCGGCAACGGUGAAACUCAAAGGAAUUGGCGGGG
rnacentral:rRNA from 1 species